GGGCAGCGUGCGCGCUCCCGUCGCCGGCGCGCUGAAGCGUGGGAAGGUUCCGCGGUGACCUGGCUCUGCGGCCGGGGCGCAGUUCUCAGGUUUGGCCUCAGAUAAAUUCUUCCAAGGUCUAGACCAAGAGUGAGGAGCAGACAAGCCCAACCGAUGUGAACACCAAGCCUGGUUGUCCAGUGUCAUCUUCGCUGGGAAUUAAGAAACAACUAAAAUAUCCUCCAAAGGGUGGUGGUCAAACCACGUGUGGCGCGUCUACACCCCGGAUGUGGCUCCGCAGCGAUGAAAGAAGCCACUGACUCACAGGGCACCGGUGCUCUCGGGAUGAUGCUGGAUGGAAAGGCCACUCCCAGAGAUCACAUGCAUAAAGGAUGAUUCCGGCUGUUUGGCAAAAUGACCAAAUCGUGGAGCCAGACAGAGACUAGGUUAGUAGUCGUGAGGGUCGGGGAUGGAAAGGUGAGGAGGGUGGGACUACACGGGGACAGCAGGAGGGAGUCUCUGUG